rnacentral:rRNA from 1 species
GUCCAGACUCCUACGGGAGGCAGCAGUGGGGAAUAUUGGGCAAUGGGCGCAAGCCUGACCCAGCAACGCCGCGUGAAGGAAGAAGGCUUUCGGGUUGUAAACUUCUUUUGACAGGGAAGAGCAGAAGACGGUACCUGUCGAAUAAGCCACGGCUAACUACGUGCCAGCAGCCGCGGUAAUACGUAGGGGGCAAGCGUUGUCCGGAAUGACUGGGCGUAAAGGGAGUGUAGGCGGCCUUGUAAGUUAGAUGUGAAAUCCUACGGCUUAACCGUAGAACUGCAUCUAAAACUGUGAGGCUGGAGUGCAGGAGAGGUGAGUGGAAUUCCUAGUGUAGCGGUGGAAUGCGUAGAUAUUAGGAGGAACACCAGAGGCGAAGGCGACUCACUGGACUGUAACUGACGCUGAGGCUCGAAAGCGUGGGGAGCAAACAGGAUUAGAUACCCGGGUAC